GAUGAACGCUGGCGGCGUGCCUAAUACAUGCAAGUCGAGCGAACAGACGAGGAGCUUGCUCCUCUGACGUUAGCGGCGGACGGGUGAGUAACACGUGGAUAACCUACCUAUAAGACUGGGAUAACUUCGGGAAACCGGAGCUAAUACCGGAUAAUAUAUUGAACCGCAUGGUUCAAUAGUGAAAGACGGUUUUGCGGUCACUUAUAGAUGGAUCCGCGCCGCAUUAGCUAGUUGGUAAGGUAACGGCUUACCAAGGCAACGAUGCGUAGCCGACCUGAGAGGGUGAUCGGCCACACUGGAACUGAGCCACGGUCCAGACUCCUACGGGAGGCAGCAGUAGGGAAUCUUCCGCAAUGGGCGAAAGCUUGACGGAGCAACGCCGCGUGAGUGAUGAAGGUCUUCGUAUCGUAAAACUCUGUUAUUAGGGAAGAACAAAUGUGUAAGUAACUAUGCACGUCUUGACGGUACCUAAUCAGAAAGCCACGGCUAACUACGUG
rnacentral:rRNA from 1 species